rnacentral:lncRNA from 1 species
GUCAGGUAGCACCACUUAUUUUAUAUAUAUAUAUUAUUUUUUUGUAAUAUAUAAUCUGACAUAUUUUGUUUGAUCAAAAACAAGCUACAAAAUGAGUCAUGAGCUUUAUAUGUUGCAGUUACGAAAGCACCUCCUCUAGUGGCACCACCUGGACAGUGGUCACCCCCAUCACCUUCACAUAUACAGUUACUCAGACCAAAAACCUUCUUGACCCCAGCAAUGACACUCUGCUUUUGGGCCACAUCAGAGACACUGAGCAGCUUGAGGCUGUACGGUCCAGCACCAAGCCCUUAAAACGCUUCAUAGUCAUGGAUGAGGUAGUAUACAAUCUCUAUGGUUCUCAGAUCACUGACUACCUCGAGGCCAGACACGUCCUGUACCAGAUCAUGCCCCUGCCCACGACAGAGGAGAACAAGUCCAUGGAAAUGGCCCUGAAGAUCCUGGAAGAAGUCCACCAAUUUGGCAUCGAUCGGCGCAACGAGCCCAUCAUCGCCAUCGGAGGUGGGGUCUGCCUGGAUAUUGUGGGUCUCGCUGCGUCCCUCUACAGAAGGCGCACUCCAUACAUUCGUGUUCCCACUACCCUUUUGUCAUACAUCGAUGCAAGCGUCGGAGCAAAGACGGGUGUUAAUUUCGCAAAUUGCAAGAAUAAGCUAGGCACCUACAUCGCACCUGUUGCUGCCUUUUUGGACAGGUCGUUUAUACAGACAAUUCCUCGCAGACACAUAUCUAAUGGUCUUGCAGAAAUGUUGAAGAUGGCUCUGAUGAAGCACAGAGGGCUGUUUGAACUUCUGGAAACGCAGGGGCAGUUCCUUUUAGACUCCAAGUUCCAGUCCGGUUUGGUUCUAGAAGACGACCGCAUUGACCCUGCUUCUGUUUCUACACGUGUCGCCAUAGAAACCAUGUUAGAGGAAUUGGCCCCAAACCUGUGGGAGGAUGAUCUAGACAGACUCGUUGACUUCGGUCACCUGAUCAGCCCAGAACUAGAGAUGAAAGUCCUACCAGCUUUACUCCACGGUGAGGCAGUAAAUAUCGAUAUGUCCUACAUGGUGUAUGUGGCGUGUGAGAUGGGGUUUCUCACAGAGCAGGAGAAGUUCAGGAUCAUCUGUUGCAUGCUGGGACUGGAGUUGCCGGUGUGGCAUCAAGACUGCACCUUUGCUUUGGUUAAGAAAUCUCUGUGUGACAGACUACAGCACUCCGGAGGGCUUGUGAGAAUGCCUUUACCAACAGGCCUCGGAAGAGCAGAAAUCUUCAACGACACUGAUGAAGGCACUCUGUUCCGGGCGUACGAGAAAUGGUGCGAUGAACUGAGCACUGGUUCACUUCAAUGAGACUUCAGCCAAUGUUUACAUAUAGGGGAGCCUCUUAGCUUUAACAAUUUAUACGCAUGAAUAAAUGAAUAGAUUUUGUUUCCUUUUUAUUUUGUAUACAUUUAAGUGUUUUACAUUUAAAACAAUUGCUUCUCAUUACUAUAAUUGCCAUUUUUGUAAAUGGCUGUGAAUAGAAGAAGGCUGACUUGAUAUGUGAAGAUUUUUCUUUAGUUGUGUUUAAGGGUUUCUUUCCCAUCAUUUCAUGUUUGAUAAAGGGACAUUUUGGUUAAUAAUGAAAUCAUUUAUUAAAAUGUGAAAAAUUCUGCCUGAUGUGUUGGAUGUAAUGCAUGCAAGUUUAUAAUAAACACAUUAGUAUUAUUAACAAAGUCUCUGUUAUGAUGAGAAAGAUGUAUUAUGUUUCACAGCAUCAUGAAAACCGUCACAUGAAGAUAUGUGAAGAUUUUUCUUUAGUUGUGUUUAAGGGUUUCUUUCCCAUCAUUUCAUGUUUGAUAAAGGGACAUUUUGGUUAAUAAUGAAAUCAUUUAUUAAAAUGUGAAAAAUUCUGCCUGAUGUGUUGGAUGUAAUGCAUGCAAGUUUAUAAUAAACACAUUAGUAUUAUUAACAAAGUCUCUGUUAUGAUGAGAAAGAUGUAUUAUGUUUCACAGCAUCAUGAAAACCGUCACAAAUACCACAGAUAUGUGUGGAAAACAUGACACCAUUGGUCUGGUAUUCAAUAUAUGUUCUCUUGUUUUUUUGUCUUCAUAAGUCUUAAAAAACACAAGAAUAAUGGAUAUAAAUACAAUAAUACUACUAGAUUUGAAUAAGAUAAUCUGAUAUGAAUUUCACUCCUGUCUUCUUCAAUGAUUUGCUGCAAAAAUGCAACUUUAGCAUUUUUGAGACCUUAUUGACCUUUAAAAAAUUGCAGUAGACAUCUGAUAACAAGUAUAACAUGAGGUAGAAGAGACAAUAAUAUAGAACAGACUAGUAAGAGAAUUGUACUUUAGCUGUUCAGUAGCAAGUCAUUCAUCAUUAUAAAUACCCCAUAUCAUUGUGAUAAAAAGCAGUAUGUUUUUAUCAAUCACGAUUUGACAUGAUUUUUGAUACUUCU